GACGAACGCUGGCGGCGUGCCUAAUACAUGCAAGUAGAACGCUGAAGGAGGAGCUUGCUUCUCUGGAUGAGUUGCGAACGGGUGAGUAACGCGUAGGUAACCUGCCUGGUAGCGGGGGAUAACUAUUGGAAACGAUAGCUAAUACCGCAUAAGAGUAGAUGUUGCAUGACAUUUACUUAAAAGGUGCAAUUGCAUCACUACCAGAUGGACCUGCGUUGUAUUAGCUAGUUGGUGAGGUAACGGCUCACCAAGGCAACGAUACAUAGCCGACCUGAGAGGGUGAUCGGCCACACUGGGACUGAGACACGGCCCAGACUCCUACGGGAGGCAGCAGUAGGGAAUCGUCGGCAAUGGACGGAAGUCUGACCGAGCAACGCCGCGUGAGUGAAGAAGGUGUUCGGAUAGUAAAGCUCUGUUGUAAGAGAAGAACGAGUGUGAGAGUGGAAAGUGCACACUGUGACGGUAUCUUACCAGAAAGGGACGGCUAACUACGUG
rnacentral:rRNA from 1 species